rnacentral:sRNA from 1 species
CACAGUAUUCGGUCAUACAGCCCGUCCAUUCGCCAUUUGCGUGGAUCCAAUCAAUUAUAGAAUCUACACGGGCGGUAUCGAACAAACACUGUUCUGCUGGAAAUAUGAUGAACGUUCGAUUGAUUUGCGGCAAAAGAUUGCAAUUCCAAUUGGUGUUAUUCAGAAAAUCAGUAAAAUAGACGAUAGUACACUGGCGAUCAGCUCUCAAAAUGGAGAUCUUUUGGAAAUUCACGUGGAACAGCAAUCAUUGAAAUCGAAAAUUGUAAUUUUGAAAGAUGAUUUGAUGAAUUUUGCGAAUUUAAAUGGGAAAUUAGUGAUUUUAACGGCAGAUAAGUGAGUUUUUUUUUGACUAAAAUUACUUUAAAAAACCUCCAAACACGAAAUUUAAUAUUGGACUUUAUUUUUUGGAAAAUCCAAAAAAUGCAUAAUGAGAUACUAUUUAAUUCCAAGUUUGCAUUUUUAUACCAUUUUGCACAAAUUCUUCAGAAAGCCUAAAUUCCUGUGAAGGCCUAAAAUUAUUCAAUGGUCUAAAAUUCGGCGACUUGGAAAUUUGAACUCCUUUUCACUAUUUUCUAAGAAAAAAUCAUACAACUCAAUCAUCUUACAGUGAGCUAAUCCUCUUCGAAUCCGAUGCAAUGCUCCGAAUAAUAUUCCGAUGCACAAAUAUAAAGCAUAUGACGUCAUCAGAUGAUUCGGUAGUAGCGUGGCAUCAGAACACGUGGAUUGUCAUCACAACUUCGUCAGUUCAUCGAUUGAAAUUGUCAAUGAAUAUCAUCUCUGCCACGUGUCACGCCUCAUACGUGGCAAUUAAGACUAUUGAUGGAAUAAUUGUAAGAAUUAGAGAAGAAGGGAUUCGAAGGAAAACAUACUAUUUCAGCACGUCUACAACUUUGCCGACGUUGAGAAUAUCCGAUGUCUGAAAAGAUUCCGCGCACAGAAUGCAUCAAUGAUUCCGGCAGUGAUUUCAGUAGUCCACGAUAAUUUAUUGGUUAUUGGAACGACGCAUGGAGAGCUGUAUCAUGUAGAUUUAGAUGAACCGAACGAUGAUAUUCGUCUGAGCUUGAGUGUAAGGAAUAUUAUAGUUUUGCACUAAAAUCUUCCUUUUUUUUUACAAUGAAACGAGAUUUAUUUUUCCUUGUAAAGAUGAGAAAAUCUAAAAAUGAAAGGAAAAUUUCUGAAAAGCAAUUUUAAAAAAUUCGAGUACGCCACUUUUAAAGGAAUAAUCUAAAAUUAAUAUAUUCCGAAUUUUUCUGUUUUACAGAAAAAAAAAUAUUCGGAAAUUUGUAAAUAAAAUUCUCCAGAAAAACAAAAAUUUGGGUUUUGGAAAAAGUUUUUUUUAAGUCGAAAGUUAUGAGAUAAAUAAAAUGGAGAUAAUAUUAUUUAAUUAUUUCAGCUAAAAACUUCGAAAAUUUAUAUAUUUCCAGCGUUCCACGUCAUUUGAACUUUUUGGUGGAAAAGAAGUCACAUGUAUUCGAUCAAUUCCCAAUUCUUCAAUAUUCAUGACACUUGGCAAAACUGGAAUUUGGAGUACAAUUCGGUUAAUACGUGGUGGCACUACAAACUAUGAAAUGGAGGUUAUGAAUUUUCGAAGCUUCUCGACAUCAAGCAGAAUGGCAUGGCCAUCAAAGUUUAUUGAAUGGAAAGGAAAUCUCUUGAUUGUUGGAUUCUAUGGGG